AACUCGCCUACACGAAGUUGGAAUUGCUAGUAAUCGUGGAUCAGCAUGCCACGGUGAAUACGUUCCCGGGUCUUGUACACACCGCCCGUCACACCAUGGGAGCUGGUAACACCCGAAGUCAGUAGUCUAACCGCAAGGGAGGACGCUGCCGAAGGUGGGAUUAGCGACUGGGGUGAAGUCGUAACAAGGUAUC
rnacentral:rRNA from 1 species